AUCCAGUGGCUUUGCAUUUCCAUAAACUCACUGUAAUUUUGCCACAAUGCACUACAAUUUUUGGCGCAAAAUUGUCGGUGUCCAACAGUUU